UAAAAAUAAAAUAAAAAGUAAAU
rnacentral:sRNA from 1 species